UCCGUGUUAGUGUAGUGGUUAACAUUUGACGCUUUCAACCCGUGGAUGUCAUUCGCUGAGGAAGAGCCGUCACGACCCGGGUUCGAUCCCCGGACACGGAA